rnacentral:rRNA from 1 species
GAUGAACGCUGACAGAAUGCUUAACACAUGCAAGUCAACUUGAACUUCGGUUUGGGUGGCGGACGGGUGAGUAACGCGUAAAGAACUUGCCUCACAGAUAGGGACAACAUUUGGAAACGAAUGCUAAUACCUGAUAUUAUGAUUAUAUGGCAUCGUAUAAUUAUGAAAGCUAUAUGCGCUGUGAGAGAGCUUUGCGUCCCAUUAGCUAGUUGGAGAGGUAACGGCUCACCAAGGCGAUGAUGGGUAGCCGGCCUGAGAGGGUGAUCGGCCACAAGGGGACUGAGACACGGCCCUUACUCCUACGGGAGGCAGCAGUGGGGAAUAUGGGACAAUGGACCAAGAGCCUGAUCCAGCAAUUCUGUGUGCACGAUGAAGUUUUUCGGAAUGUAAAGUGCUUUCAGUUGGGAAGAAAAAAAUGACGGUACCAACAGAAGAAGUGACGGCUAAAUACGUG